ACGCCUGCAUUCUAAAAGCUCACUCUCACUCAAAGAGUGGAGGUUCAAUCUGAGCUUCCUUGAGUGUCAGUGCUGUUUUUGAAUAGCUGGAGGGUUAGUGUCGUACCUUACUAUGUGACUACCAUAGAUAUCUUAUAUACACUAGAUAGCGCAUCUCUAUUAGUAAAAUUGAAGCCAAGAAUAUUCCAGCGGUUACCCCCAUUUGAAUAGAUGGCGG